rnacentral:rRNA from 1 species
UACGUAGGGGGCGAGCGUUGUCCGGAAUCAUUGGGCGUAAAGGGCGCGUAGGUGGUUCUGUAUGUCUACCGUGAAAGCGUACGGCUCAACCGUAUUUUGUCGGUAGAAACUGCAGGACUUGAGGCUGGGAGGGGCUGGUGGAAUUCCCUGUGUAGCGGUGAAAUGCGUAGAGAUGGGGGAGAACACUCGUGGCGAAGGCGGCCAGCUAGACCAGUUCUGACACUGAGGCGCGACAGCGUGGGGAGCAAACAGG